UCUCCGCCCCGCUGUUGUUUUGCCGGCAGAGGACGCCGGCUGGCGUGUGAGCUGCUGCUAGCCGUGAUCAUUAUCCGGUAGAUUUGGUACCUUCAGCCAUUCUUGCGUGGAACUGCACUCUGCUGUGAACUGGUGUUCACUGCGCGCUGCCUAUACUGCACCAGUGUGUUGCCCAUCAUCUGUGCCCUGUGGCAGGCCUGAUUCGUGGUGCUUACGCUGGCUUGGAGUGGCCACAGUGGUUGGCCCCUGGGUACCUGACUGCAGUCAGUGGAUGUGUGUGGUCCAAAUUGCGAUUGUUCCGAACCACGGAUCUAUGAUCAGGUUAGCGGUGCCUCUCUGACGCUGUAAGUAUUCAUUUCUUCCUCUUGAUUGUCGCUGUCACCGAUUACCUCUAGGCUAGUGAGUAAUGGGUACCUGUUUGUUAACUUACAGGGGGAUUGCUAGCUACACUCCUCGGAGGUUGCUGUUUUGUUGCCGUCACACUCUGCGCCGGUUCCGACUUGCUCCACCUGCUCGUCCUGCUUUUGUUUGGUUUAAUUAUUUUUAUUUUCUGGUCCGUUUCUUGGGACGCCAGCCUCCUCGCUGCGCACUGCGCAGGUCUAGUUACCUGUGUGUGUUGUGAGUGCGUGUGUGUCUGUGCGUCUGUAUGCGUGUGUGAUUGUCAUCUAGGCACGGCACCGGAGGCAAGUGUACACCCCCUUCAGUCAACCUACGGCGGUGUAGUUCUCCCCUCUCUCGCUAUGCAAAAGUUAAGUUGCAUCUAGUAAUCACUGUGUAUGCAAAUUGUGUAAUACAUUAGUAUGUGUCAUUCUCGCUAUUGAGUGUCUCUCUCUUCUCUCCUCCCUGGAUAGGUAUGGAGUUGCCAUAGCGCGCCGGUCUUCGGGUGGUGGAUUCCCUCACUUUUCCAUUGCUGUGUGCACUUGGGUGACUAUUACUAUUUUGCUGCGUGUAGUAGUAGAUGGGUGUUUUCUUUUAUUUUGUGUGAGUACUUUAUUGUGUGUGUUUAUUUUGUGUGGCCUUUUCCCUAGUCUUUAACUAUCCCUUUUCAACCGUGCUGCUAUUGGUUAGCCUAAGCCUAGCUUCCCCCCCCCUUUAAGAGUGACACCAUUGCCCUGUCUCCCCCGUAUUGGGGCGUUGCUUAUGACUGAGUGUAGCCUCCCUUCUCUCUCGCACAGGUGCCGUGCGUGUGUAUGUGUGCGGGUGUGUGUGUGUGGCCAUUGGCCAUAUUGCUCCAUAUAACGACCCGUCUGUGGGUGUCUAAUAGGGAUCAGUGCAAUAUUGUCUGUAAUACAAUUCAUCCAUAUUGUAUUUUUGUAAUGUAUGAGUAUUUGUCCCUUGCAUCACCACUGCAUAUUUGCACACCUGUAUGACAAAUUCACAUCUGUAUGACUAUUGUAUUUAUGUAAAGAGAAUAAACACUUGACUCAUGCCUGAGAGUGCUCCGAACCUGUGUCCUGGUUUACUAAUUUGGGGGGUAA